ensembl:lncRNA novel transcript
UUAGCUCUCAUCUCACCAGCCCAUCAUUAUUGUAUGUGCUGCCUUCUGAAGCUUGCAGCUGGCUACAUCAGGAAUUCUCAGGGAUUAUAAUCCUCAUCAAUAUAACAAGCCUCCAAAGUCAUAUUUUUUAACUUUGUGAAAUGCCCUCCCACCUAACUACCCCAUUUGACACCUGCAACCAUCCUCUAGAGAGGCAGACAAGAUCGACCGUCUCACUUUACAGAAGUGCAAAGAGUAGCUGGCCUAAUGCCACAGCCAAUGAACAGAUGAAGGAGGCCUACAACCACCUAGUCUUCCCUACUUCUCCUCACUCCUCCCCUCUGACCUCCUUAUGUCACCACUGACCAAUGGAUCACUGUGUGGCCGUUCAGCAUCUUCCUAUGCUGUGUCAGGCAAGAGAAAUUCUGGAAAGAGAGCAUCUCAUGUUUAUUAAGGAGACUGGGUGUCCUUGUAGAAAGUCCUGCCAUGCACAACCCCGGUCUUAACUGAUGUGUUUCACCAUACUGAAGGCAAGUUGCCAUCUAACAUAGUUGAAGGGGAGCCAGUUGUGGUGAUCUUUGUUCCUGCUGAAAUAUGGAAAGAAAAUGAGGAAAUGAGCUCAUUUUCAAAGAAAAUGAACAUUCUUUCACAUGAAAGAAAUAGGAGCAAAGUGACAG